GACGAACGCUGGCGGCGUGCCUAAUACAUGCAAGUAGAACGGAGUGGCGAACGGGUGAGUAAUGUAUCGGAACGUGCCCAGUAGCGGGGGAUAACUACGCGAAAGCGUAGCUAAUACCGCAUACUAUUGGAGCGGCCGAUAUCGGAUUAGCUAGUUGGUGGGGUAACGGCUCACCAAGGCGACGAGCCGUAGCUGGUUUGAGAGGACGAACAGCCACACUGGGACUGAGACAAGGCCCAGACUCCUACGGGAGGCAGCAGUGGGGAAUUUGGGACAAUGGGGGAAACCCUGAUCCGGCCAUCCCGCGUGUGCGAUGAAGGCCUUCGGGUUGUAAAGCACUGAUGGCAGGAAAGCGGGACCUGCAGAAUAAGCACCGGCUAACUACGUGCCAGCAGCCGCGGUAAUAC
rnacentral:rRNA from 1 species